CUAGAGGACCAGCCUAGCUGCAGCUAACGUGAGCAACAGCGAGACAAAGUCAGCUCUGCUUGCCUGUGUUUCCCAUGGUGAACUCACUAUUCAGAUGAAGCCAUAGGCAAUCAGUAGAAAAACAACUUCACUAUGGCUUAUGACAAAGAAUCUAAUCACAUCCUUCAGAAUUUGUCUCAAAAGACAUGCAAGGUCAGUCCCCAAAUGGCCAAGAAGGGGGGGUGAGCUCUGCCUGCAUCAAGAUCCUGCCAGAUCUGAAUGAACAAGAGAGGUAACAUCUGGGACAAAGUAUAGGCCUGUGACCUUAACAUCAUAAUUUUUCUUCUCCUUUGCCUGAUGAAGAAGCCAGUAGAGGUUUGAAUGUCACCAUUACACAUUUUCUGCAUUUUGUUGGCCAAUAAAGGACCCUUGUAUCUAUUACUCCAGUGAAUGUGAAGGGCUGAAUGAAUCAUAUUGCCACCCCCCCCCCCUUUUAAUACCUUCAGUAAAACAUGGCUUUGGUUGUGAUGUGUCUUCUUCUGAAGAUUCGUCUUUAUUUUCUCCAGGUAUAGCAAGAUUAACUGUA